UUUUUAACUUAAAAAAAAAAUUAUUUUCAAAAAAAUAGAAAUUAUGCAUGAUUGUGUGAGAAUUUAAUUAAUUUAUUUUUUUAAAUAAUUUAUUCCAAAGGAAGCAGUAACAAAUAGGGUUAAUUGUCAAAAAAGCCAUGAAAUUUGCCAAGUUUUGCAAUUAAACCCUGAAGUUUACAUAAUUGUCAAUUAAACUUUCACGUUUGAUUGAUGUCUCAAAUUGACUUAACCAUCAAUAAACUAUUAGUCCAGUUAAUGAGAGUUUCAUGUUAGCUGUCAUAUCAUUACUGGAGAAGCCAAAUCAAAAAUCCCAAAUUAACCUUAACUUCUCUACUAUAAGAAAUCCCUAAGUAAACAUUUCUUCAAAAUUGAUUUUCUCUCUCUAUGCACUGAUUCAAUUAACAUGCAUGCAAGUUGCUUCUUCUUCUCAAAACUUCUUCUAAUCUACUGAUUCAAUUCUUCAUUCACUGAUUAUAAUGUCUUAAAGUGAAGGUUUAGCCUCACGAAUCCAAAAUCUUUUUCCUUCUUUGUUUUCCUAUUUCUUCCCCUUUCCUCUGUGCUUCCUUCCCUCUUCUAUGUGCAAUCGAGCUCUGCAUCCACAUUUGUUGCUGUAGUCGGAGGAAAAAGGAGGUAAAUAACGAGGAACAGUUGCGACGAUGUGAAGAGGGAUUCUGUGAUUGUGAUCGAUUGGUGGAUGACAAAAAGGAAGUUGGACUUUUGCAGA
rnacentral:misc_RNA from 1 species